GUGAAUGGCAGUCUGGGUCCAUGAGGAGCAUAAUGAGCAGCAUCCCCACCCGGGCGCAGGGAGAGAAGAUAAUGAGGCACCCCGGGAGGCCUCAUAAAUACCUCUCCCCGCGACCCAAACACGCAGAUGCACACAAUGGAGCCAGCGGGCCCCACUAGCGUUCCUUGGCCCACCCCGCUUGUGACAAUUUAUGUUUGGGAGGAACCAACCCCGGCAGCCAGGAGCAGGGUGACACAUAGUGAACAUCGGUCACUGCCCCUCCCACUCCUUCUGGAAGAAAGGUGUUGCUCAGCAGGCGGCGGUGGCACCAGGAGCAUCCCCAUGGCAACACUGAGGUCAGACCUCACUGCUGUGACCUCACUCUGGGGCCACUGGACUGGGGCUGGGCCGUCAUUGCCACCCCGGGAAAUGGAGGAGCUGUGAUGGAGCUCUCCAGAAAAAACUGAAUCUGCCCUCUUGGGGUCACGGAUUGCAGCCCUCCUCCAGUUUCAAUUACUCCUGACCUGGACCUUGUCCCUGGAGCUGAGGCCCUUCAUCCUGCUGAUGGCUGAUCUGGUGCGGAGAGGAACCAUGAACCUGUCCUGGAUGUAAAGCCCACUGUCCCCCCUUCCUUGAACUCGGGCCUUGUCACGUGUCUUCCCUGAGACUCUUGUUUUCUCGGGGUUGUUGUGAAGAUCAGAAGGCCCUGAAAAAAAAAAAAAAAAAAAAAAGAAGGCCCUGGAAGUGUUCACAGCCUUCUUCCCGACUCCCCCUGGGCCUGGACCCCAGAGGCCCUAUUCUUGCACACUUGCUGUGUCACCUGCCGCCCCUCAGGGCCUGUGGUUUUUCCACACCCUCUCCUGCUGGCUCAGUGGGUGUGUCCAACUAAGGUCACUCCUGAGAUGUCUCCACCUGUGCCUUCCAGAGAGGAGGACCACCAAGAGCCCACGGCUUGAUCUGUGUUAGGAUCUGUGAUGUGCACCUCACACCCAUCAUUGUGUGGAAUUCGGGGAGAUCUCUCAGGUCCCACUGCAGGGACAAACAACACAGCGGCUGUCAGAAGGAAGAUGACCUGCUUUGAAGUCACACGGUGACUACAACACAGAACUUGGUCUAUCCGGGCCCUGUGUUCACAAAGCCGUUACGCGGAAUGACAGGAAAUGCCUUUGAAGCCUUGAGUUUGAGCAUCAACGUCCAUGAUCAGCUUAGCCCUUGAUAAAGUUGAGCUUCUUUUCAUUUGACACAAGACUGGGAAAUCUGUCCUUCUGGGGAUGAUGGACGAAACCUUCAGGGAACGCAUCUAGCUGGGUCUCUAGGCAGGAACGCGAGGACGCCAACACACCGAGUCGUGGGAGCAGGAGAGGCAACUGCAGGACCUCUUGGGGGAACUUUUUGCCACCUGGAAUGGAUUGCCAUGUCAGAAUGUUCUCCGGGAGAAGAAGGGUCCCCGGGGUUGGCAAGCUUCCCAGGAUGGCAGGCCCCGUGCUCGCAGGACUGUGGGAAGGUGAAUGCCUCGGAGGAGGGUAGUAUCACCCACGCAGCCUCGGCCCCAGCUCUACCGUGAGUCACCACCGAUUAGCUGAUGUGGGCGGGGAGCAAGUUCCGGAGGUCAGAAGAUGGAAAUCAAAGUGUCAUUGGGCUGAGUUCCUUCUGGUGACCUUGGAGAAUCCAUUUCUGGUGACCUCUGGAGGAUCCAUUUCCCUGCUUCUUCCAGCUUCUCAAAGCCAGCUUCUCGAGCUCCUUAGCUGGUGGCCUCUUCCUCACAUCACUUCCAGCCUCUUGCUCCCCUUGACACCUCCCUCCAACUACUGACUGACCUUCCUGUCUCCCCUUAUAAAGACCCUGUGAUGAUAUGGGGCCCCUGGGUUAGAUAAUCUAACCCAGAAUAAUCUCCCAUCUCAACAGCCUUACCUAUAAAGUCCCUCUUUACGUAGAAGGUAACAUAUUUGCGGGUUCUGGGGAUGAGGAUGUGGACAUCUUUGGGGGAGGCGGUUAUUAUUCAGUCUAUUGGAGCAGGGAAAGACUGGGACAUGUGCCCCCCCCCCCCCCAGACGGAUACAAAAGCUUUCUUUUCCUUGGUUUGUUCUCCAGGGGGACAACCCUGAGUUCCUCUCUGUGGGAUCCACCUGUGUCCACAGCCUUGCCUGACUGCUGCCCCACCUAUUCUGUCCUUUACUCCUCUCCAGGUUCCCUCGAAGAAGUCACGCACACAAGAAUCCUUGUCUCAGGCUCUGCUUCUAGAGAACCUGAUCUUAGGCACUGGAUCCCAUUAUCCCCAUUUUAUAGACGAAGAAGCUGUGGUGCAGAGGGUCUGAUGUAUCACAUGCUCGAGGUCACAUGGUGACAGAACAGGGCUGGAUUCUAGUCUCUAGGUUCCAGUCCUGGGCUCCCCACUCCUCACAGCUCGCUGGAGGGGUUUAUUUAAAGGCCACUGGUGGUGAUGGUGGGGGACGAGGUUCUGGGGAAGAUCAGACAGUCUGUGCAGCUCUCCUCGCUUCCUCCUGUCGCUUACCUUUUGGGGGGGCUGUCCUGGCGGCUGCUUAGCCGGCCUCCUGCUGGCCAGCGCCUUUGUCUUCCUACCUCCUCUCCGGUCCUUUGUUGCAGAGAGGGCUUUGAAGAGCCAGCUGGCCUUUGGCUUUGAAUUUCCCAGGCAGCUUUUUUGCCCCAAAUCCUGACAGUGUGGUUUCAGGGGAAGAGACUCUGGAAUCGCUGUGCUGGGAUGGCAUGGGAGGGUUCUGCUUUUCGGAGUGGGGGUGGGGGAAACAGAGGCAGGCAGCCCCAGGCCCCUGGACCCUCCUCUUUGGAAGACCAGGCCUCAAAUGCAGUGACAGUCCUAGCUAACACAAUGAACUCAGUACUGCUCUGCUGCCCCAUCCCUGGCGCCAUCCCUCCCCUGCUCUGCUGCUUGCCUCUGGCCUCUGCUCAGGCUUCAGCCAGUGGGGCGCACUGGCUGGAGGAGAGAGGUCAGUUUUUGUUUCUCCCCAUGCAGGCCUAGGGGUGUUGGUAUCUCUCCCCUGAUGCCAAUCCCUGGCCACUCCUACAUCCACUUCCACCUGGAUAAGGGCCCCCAAGACAUCCAAACCCUACUCCUGGACCCCUGUGAAUCUGUCAUCUGAAAUGGCAAAGGGGACUUUGCAGAGGUGACUAAAUGAGGGAUCUUGUGGUGGGGAGAUUGUUCUGCCUUCUCUGCGUGGGCCUAAUCACGCAGUUGUUAGGGUCCCCAUGAAAGGGAAUCGGGAGGGGCAAAGUGGUAUAUAAUGAUGGAAACAGGCUGGCAUGGCUUAGCUGGGAGCCAAGGAAAGCCCUCAGCCUCUAGAAGCUGGAAGAGUCAAGAAAUGGAUCCCCGCCCCGUGGGGCCUCCGGAGGGAACCAGCAUCCUGGACUUCUCACCCCCAGGACCAGAGAGUUAAGCUGUGUUGUUUUAAGUCACAGACAUUUGUGGGACUUUGUUCCCGCAGCGAUAGCCACGGAUACAGCACACCUCUGUAAAUACACUUUCCAUUAAAUUCUCUUCGGUUAAACCUGG